rnacentral:rRNA from 1 species
GCGGGCGUAGCAAUACGUCAGCGGCAGACGGGUGAGUAACGCGUGGGAACAUACCUUUUGGUUCGGAACAACCCAGGGAAACUUGGGCUAAUACCGGAUAAGCCCUUACGGGGAAAGAUUUAUCGCCGAAAGAUUGGCCCGCGUCUGAUUAGCUAGUUGGUGAGGUAACGGCUCACCAAGGCGACGAUCAGUAGCUGGUCUGAGAGGAUGAUCAGCCACAUUGGGACUGAGACACGGCCCAAACUCCUACGGGAGGCAGCAGUGGGGAAUAUUGGACAAUGGGCGCAAGCCUGAUCCAGCCAUGCCGCGUGAGUGAUGAAGGCCCUAGGG